CGGAACUAGCUCCAAGGUUUUUCUCAAUAAGUGUUCCUUUGGGCUCUUAGAUUUCUAGUUGUGCUAAUUUUGAUAUUAACUGAUCCAUAAGAGUUUUUUGUCGUCUCUUAUAAAGAAUUUGUUUUUAUUUAUUUUAGGAGGAGGUUUAAAGAGAAUUUUUUUUGGUUCAUUUUGUCGCGUAGGAGUAAGAGUUAAUAAAUUCUCGAUCCGAACUGUUUGUUUACCAAGGGUUUGAAGAUAAAUGUUUGUAUAAUUGUUUUGUUCAAUUAUAUGGGGAAGUAAUUCCAUUCGGGCCAUAUUGGCAUUGUUUAAUUUAUAUGGAGUAGCAACAGUUUCAUAAAGGACUAUUUGGUUUUGAAAGGUUGAUUCAUCUUCCUCAUUGUCAGUUUCUGUGGGAGUUUUUGAUGGUGCUCCUUUGAUUUUGAGACUUUUUUC
rnacentral:lncRNA from 1 species